rnacentral:rRNA from 1 species
UACGGGGGGAGCAAGCGUUGUUCGGAUUUACUGGGCGUAAAGGGCGCGUAGGCGGCCUCUGCAAGUCAGUUGUGAAAUCUCCGGGCUUAACUCGGAAAGGUCAACUGAUACUGCAGGGCUAGAGUGCGGAAGGGGCAACUGGAAUUCUCGGUGUAGCGGUGAAAUGCGUAGAUAUCGAGAGGAACACCUGCGGCGAAGGCGGGUUGCUGGGCCGACACUGACGCUGAAGCGCGAAGGCUAGGGGAGCGAACGGG